GGGCUCGUAGCUCACUUGGGAGAGCGCCUGAAUGGCAUUCAGGAGGUAACCGGUUCGAUCCCGGUCGGGUCCA
rnacentral:tRNA from 1 species